AUGUGGUGCAAGUGGAUACUGAGAAAAGAAGAUUACUCCUGCAUUUGUUGCAAGUUUGAAAAGGAUGGCAUUUUGUGCUCUCAUAUUCUAAAAGUCAUGUUGCACCUUGAGGUGGAUAAGAUACCAUACAAAUACAUAAUAGACAAGUGGAGGAAACAAGGCCAGAAAAUGAAUAAACCCAAGGCGAUUCCACUCAUAUUAGAUAAUGAUGAACUGAGAUACAAUGUCCUAGGCAUGAAGCUAGUGGAGCUUGGCUCAAACGCUUCAAAGAGUCAAAGGAAGUUUCAAUACUUGCUAUCAGAAAUGUUCAGGAUUCAACAACACUUAAUUGAUAUGGAUAGAGAAGGAGAAGAAGAGAUGGAUGGGCAAGGAGAACAAAUAGAGGAGAGCAACAGAUCCAACAAGACAAUAGGCACACUGACAACUAUGGCACAGAGUGGUGGCAGCAAAUCAACUAUUGAGCUAUUGAAUCCUGAUAAGGCGCACACAAAAGGGCGCCCACGAAUGAUGACCAUACAAGAACGCAUAAAAAACAAGACAUUCUACAAGUGCAACCACUGUAAUGAUCCGGGUCACACAAAAAGGAAAUGCACUAAUCUGGAUAAAGUAUACGACAUCCCAAAAAAGAAGAUAUCAAGGAAGACUAGCCAGCCAAGAUCAGCUGAUGGAGGGCGAGGGCGACAGAACGCUACCAACAAAGAGAUCAACGCCACCAACAUACCUAUCAAUGAGGUCUCCCAACUGCAGCAAUGA
rnacentral:rRNA from 1 species